CACACACGCACGCAGGCACACACACUCAUCUUCAUAUUUGUACUGUUUGUCUAUUGUCUGUAUUUUUGUAUUGUAUCUGUGCACCAUGUCGGAAAACCACCCAGCAGUCUUUGAAGAUCCUAGUGAGGUCAGAUGGCAUAUGGCUGCUGAAAUAAGCAAGGCUCUUCUCGAUGAGGCCAGGGCUGCAAUGGGAAGCCAUGUCCCUCAAAAAAGAAAGAGGACUAAGAGAGGGAAAACAGUCGCAAGCGCAGCGGCCACAAGUAACAGACGUAAGAAGCGUCAAAAAAAAGAACGUCGUGCAUUAGCUUCUGAAGUUCAAGUGAUCACAGUGUCUGAGGAAGUCCCUCAGAUCGAAGAAGAGAUGACUGCAAGUCUUGAUACACGUCUUCAACAGCUGAGGAACGCGCUUGACUCAGUUGAGGUUAAUGUGGCAGCUGAAAAAACAGCAUGGGCACAGCGGCAGCUACACGCUGAUACAAGGGCAAAAGCAGCAAGGCCAGUGCUGCUUGAUGCUAAACUGUCCGCUGAAAGAGAUGUCAACCAAAAAUGCCACAGGUGCGGUGCCGGAGAGGCAGUAAUUAGGUGUCUGGAUUGUGUGCCACUGGACAUGGAGUAUCUAUGUGGAGGAUGCGACAUGGAUGCUCACAAAAGGAAUGUGUUCCACGGCAGGGAGGCACUAUUCCAUGGCUACCUGGAGCCUAUUCCCCCCACAAAGGCUGUGGUGAUGGGUGAAAAUGGCCAGCCUCACUUUUGUGAGCAGGUAUGUCAGUUGCCAUUGCCUGCACGUAGGGCACUAUGUGAGUGCACCCAUGAGAUUGAGGUCACCUCUGGCAAGCAUAUUUCUUUGGUCACCAUGAAUGGACGAUAUGAUGUCUGUUUGCCCCGUAAAGUUUGUCCAACCUGCCUUGUGGAAUGGACCCCUGGGGUGAAAGAGCUCCUCAGGUACCGUUACUGGCCAAGCACAACAAACUGCCAGACACUAUAUAGUUUUGACGUCUUCGACGCUUUUGCUCACAUUAAAGUUUCGGCUCCUUCGAUGUCAAGGCAUGCCUUUUUAAAGCUACUGGAGCACCGUUCUGUUCAGGCUGGAAGGGUAAAUCUGCUUGAAUCAUUGUAACACAUAAUCAUAUUAAUGUAUCUAAUAUUGUGAUAUUUAUUUUCUGUAAACACUAAUAAUUUUUUAUGUCAUAGCCAGGGAAUGUCUGUGCAGAUACGUUCCAGAAAAGUUUUUUCGAAUAUUGUUUUUGCAAACAUACAGAAGAUGUGAUGUGUGAAGUAAAUGACUUUUAUUGUCCAGCAUGUCACCCAGACAUGUUGGCAGUGUGUUGUGAUGGCAAUCGCAAACAUUAUCGCUUCAAAAAAUCAAGGGGGAAUGAGGAACACUCUCUGUACAAGG